rnacentral:tRNA from 1 species
UCUAGGAUAGUGUAUAAAAGCACAUAAAAUUUUCGUUUUUAUAGAGGGAUUAUUCCUUCCUAGAU